GGGUCAGUAGGUUGGUCGUGCCACCGGUACGUACUGGUCUCACUGAUUCCUCCUUCCUGAAUAACCGUAAUGCCAUUAACUUGGUGUUGCGGGGAAACAGGACUGUUACUUUGAAAAAAUUAGAGUGUUUAAAGCAAGCUAACGCUUGAAUACAUUAGCAUGGAAUAAUGAAAUAGGACGAUCGAUCCUAUUUUGUUGGUUUCUAGGAUUGACGUA
rnacentral:rRNA from 1 species